UGAUCCUGGCUCAGGAUGAACGCUAGCUACAGGCUUAACACAUGCAAGUCGAGGGGCAGCAUGGCGAUUGCUUGCAAUUGCUGAUGGCGACCGGCGCACGGGUGAGUAACGCGUAUCCAACCUUCCUUAACCCUGGAAUAGCCCGGUGAAAACCGGAUUAAUGCCGGAUGUGGUCCGAAGAGGACAUCUGAUUUGGACUAAAGGUUUUACGGUUAAGGAUGGGGAUGCGUCUGAUUAGCUGUUGCGGGGUAACGGCCCACCAAGGCUACGAUCAGUAGGGGUUCUGAGAGAAGGUCCCCACACUGGUACUGAGACACGGACCAGACUCCUACGGGAGGCAGCAGUGAGGAAUAUUGGUCAAUGGGCGGGAGCCUGAACCAGCCAAGUAGCGUGCAGGAUGACGGCCCUACGGGUUGUAAACUGCUUUUAUGCGGGGAUAAAGUGCCCUACGUGUAGGGUUUUGCAGGUACCGCAUGAAUAAGGACCGGCUAAUUCCGUGCC
rnacentral:rRNA from 1 species